rnacentral:tRNA from 1 species
UCCCUGGUGGCCUGGUGGUGAAGGAUACAGUGCUGUCACUGCUGUGAUGCAGGUUUGAUUCCUGGCCUGGGAA